rnacentral:rRNA from 1 species
ACGUAGGGGGCAAGCGUUGUCCGGAUUUAUUGGGCGUAAAGGGCGUGUAGGCGGUUUAAUAAGUUGGGUGUGAAAACUCUGGGCUCAACCCAGAGACUGCAUUCAAAACUGUUUUACUUGAGGGCAGGAGAGGAAAGUGGAAUUCCAAGUGUAGCGGUGAAAUGCGUAGAUAUUUGGAAGAACACCAGUGGCGAAGGCGACUUUCUGGACUGUUUCUGACGCUGAGGCGCGAAAGCCAGGGGAGCGAACGG